GGCCCGAUGGUCUAGUGGUAUGAUUCUCGCUUUGGGUUCAGCACUUGAAUGCGAGAGGCCCCGGGUUCGAAUCCCGGUCGGGCCC